AUUGAACGCUGGCGGCAUGCCUUACACAUGCAAGUCGAACGGUAACAGGUCUUCGGAUGCUGACGAGUGGCGAACGGGUGAGUAAUACAUCGGAACGUGCCCGAUCGUGGGGGAUAACGAGGCGAAAGCUUUGCUAAUACCGCAUACGAUCUACGGAUGAAAGCGGGGGAUCUUCGGACCUCGCGCGGACGGAGCGGCCGAUGGCAGAUUAGGUAGUUGGUGGGAUAAAAGCUUACCAAGCCGACGAUCUGUAGCUGGUCUGAGAGGAUGAUCAGCCACACUGGGACUGAGACACGGCCCAGACUCCUACGGGAGGCAGCAGUGGGGAAUUUUGGACAAUGGGCGAAAGCCUGAUCCAGCCAUGCCGCGUGCAGGAUGAAGGCCUUCGGGUUGUAAACUGCUUUUGUACGGAACGAAAAGCCCCUUUCUAAUAAAGAGGGGUCAUGACGGUACCGUAAGAAUAAGCACCGGCUAACUACGUG
rnacentral:rRNA from 1 species